rnacentral:rRNA from 1 species
AUUGAACGCUGGCGGUAUGCCUUACACAUGCAAGUCGAACGGCAACAGGCUGCAAGGUGCCGCUUAGGGGCGAAGGGGGGAGUAAUGCAUCGGAAUGCGCCCAGAUGUGGGGGUUAAUUAGUCGUAAGGGAAGGAAAUAUACCAUAAGACCUCAGGCUGCCAACGGGGGAAAGCAAGGGAUCGUGCGACUUGACGCGAUGAUGUCAGAUUAGGUAGUUGGUGGGGUAAAGGCUCACCAAGGCAACGAUCUGCAGCUGGCCUGAGAGGACGACCAGCCACACUGGGACUGAGACACGGCCCAGACUCCUACGGGGGGCAGCAGUGGGGAAUUUUGGGCAAUGGGCGCAAGCCUGAUCCAGCAAUGCCGCGUGCAGGGAGAAGGCCUUCGGGUUUUAAAAUGCUUUUGUACGGAACAGAACAGCUCUAGUUAAUACCCGGGGCUAAUGGCGGUACCGUAAGAAUAAGCACCGGCUAACUACGUG